CCCUUAGAUGUUCUGGGCUGCACACGCGCUACACUGAAGGGAUCAGCGUGUUCUUUUCCUGGUCCGAAAGGAUCGGGUAACCCGCUGAACCCCCUUCGUGGUAGGGAUCGGAGCUUGCAAUUACUCUCCGUGAACCAGGAAUUCCCAGUAAGCGCAAGUCAUAAGCUUGCGUUGAUUACGUCCCUGCCCUUUGUACACACCGCCCGUCGCUACUACCGAUUGGACGUUUUAGUGAGGUAUUUGGACUGGACCUUCGGAGGUUCGCGCCUCCGUUGCUGUUCGGGAAGACUCCCAAACUUGAGCGUUUAGAGGAAGUAAAAGUCGUANCA
rnacentral:rRNA from 1 species